AUGUUCCUCCCCUUCUUCUUCACUCUCUCCUUCAACAAAAUCCACACCCACUUUAUAAUCCUUCUCAGGGGCAGCCGUGUCCUCACAGGUCUCAGAAAACUCUCCUUCCUUCAUACUCUCACCCGUAUACCACUGAACAAAAGCACGCUUGGCAUACAUCAGGUCAAACUUGUGGUCCAGACAAGAUCAGACCUCAGCAAUGGCUCUGGUGUUGCUCAGCGUGCACACAGCUCUCUGUACUUUGGCCAGGUCUCCACCAGGUACCACAGGCUGGUAAUUAAUGCCAACUUGGAAGCCAGUGCUGCACGAGCCCACAAACUGGAUGGAAUGCUUGGUCUUGAUGGUGGCAAUGGCAACAUUGACACCUUUGGGAACACAUUGCCACGGUACAACAGGCAGAAAGCCAUGUAGUUACCAUGCCAAAGGGCACAUUUCACCUGGUUGGCUGGUUUGAAGCAUGCAUUGUUGAUCUCUGCUACAGAAAACUGUUCAUUGUAGGCUUUCUCAGCAGAGAUGACAGGAGUAUUUGUGGGUAGGGGAAGUGGAUG
rnacentral:lncRNA from 1 species